rnacentral:rRNA from 2 species
UGGGUGUGUAAGCGUAGCGAUACGUUGAGCUAACCAGUACUAAUGAACCGUGAGGCUUAACCUGACAACACCGAAAGUGUUUUG